ensembl:lncRNA
CAAGCGUGUUUAAAUUUGGUCUGAGAUCCUUUUCUGUGAAUGAGAGUAUUGUUCUGGGGUGGUGCUCAGCCGAGCCCACGAUCUGCAAUGGUCCCCUUGGGGGCUGACUAAUGAGUUCACUGUGAGAACAGCCUGAGGAUAAUUUUCUCCUCCAGGACAGGCAGGCAGAUGGACCAGAUGCACCUCAGCAGAGCACACUGCAGAAGGUAUCUGUCCUCUGGUCUGUGUGGAGCUCAAAAUAACAGAUAAAACUAGCAGAGGGGGAGGAUCAUGGUGACAGACAGGAUGAGCAUUAAGAACUAGACAGGUCAUGGCAGAAGUCCUAAUAAUUUGAACAUACCAUGCUCAAUGACUUCUUCCGGCUCACGAAAUCGAACCCUUCUCUCUGCUUUCCGCUUUUCCCCCACAGCCUGGUCCACAGGUGGCCUUUUCCUCAGUAUUGAAGGAGGACAGCUACUGUCAUCUGUCUAAAGAGUUGAUCAAAACACAAAACAAGGCUUUCAAGCUGGAAUAAUGAAUUUUGAGUGAAACUUGGAAGCUUUGUGCCUGUAUUUUUGCCACGUCUCUCAAAGAGCAUGACACAAAACACAUCUGAUGUGACAUUUACUGUUAGAUCACUGUAAUACUUAGAAUAGGGCACUAUGGACAUUCCUUCAUCAUCAGAGAUCUUCAGUACUCUAAAGCUGUCUUCUCAGGAAAAAUCUUAUUUAAAGUAACAGAAAAGUGUUCAGAAAGGAUUUCUCAGUGCUACUGAAGUUAUUGAAGGUGGCUGCUCAACAGACUGGGGCAGAGGAACAGAAAUAUGAUUUUAAAUAUAUGAUUUAUGUCAUUGGAAGCAUCUUUGAAGUGCUCUUCUGAGCUAAGCAGCUCUGUUUUGGAUGCAGUGUUGCCAUUUCAACAACUGUAACUAUUCAGCAAUCUUGUGCUUGGACGCUAUCCCAUUGGGUAUGAGAAGGUAAUUGUUUGCAUUUCGAUAUCACAAUUGUGUCGCUGUUCUAUUUUUUGCUUGGAAGCUACACUCAGUCUUUGAUAAUGAAAUCAGAUUGCUGUGGAUUCUGCCAAAUAACAAAAAGCAGAGCUGAAAUAAUAAUAAAAAAUCCCUCAUCUGUGCCAGAAUGUUCCUAAUGUCAAACUCCAAAGUGAAUCCUAAGCAUCUCAGUUCGGAUACAUCCAUUGUCAUCAGAAAGUGGAGCAACAGAUGGCAAAUUUUCUACUUUUUGAAGACAUAAGUGGGUGGCAGAGAUUCUGCACGUUUUAUUUUUAAGAUAAAGUUGUCUUCUCCACACCUCUUCUCUACGCACCUUCAUCUACACCUCUUCAUUUGCUUGUUUCUGCUCAGGAAAGAAUAUUAUUUCCUAGAUGUUUUCUUUGUUUCUGCUAUGUGUUGUCCCUGCUCCGCUUUAUCCUCAUUUGUCUUCUUCCUACUCAGUAAAAAACCUGUAGUUUUCCCAAUGCAUCACACGCUGGAUAUUCCCAUGACUGAACACCUGCUGAUCACAUUGGCCUUGAAAGAGAUGCCACUAUGGGAUGGAUCCAGAGAGGGAUUUAGGGGUGACAUUCCUGGGCAGAUCAAGCCUACCAGAAUGGCCUUCCGGUGAAUACUUAUGCUUCCUACACAAUUCAGAAGACAAUUAUAUGUUUAAAAAUAGCAUUCACAGCUGCUGGGCCACUGAACAGGAAGACAUAUAACACAUACAGCGGGAACUGCCAUGGAGUGAGGAACAUGUUCAGCACUGAUACUUUCUCUUGAAGGAUUAAUAAGCUAGAUUUUGGCAUGGCAUAUCACUGGUGAGGAUGUUUUCUCUGAUCUUAGGGUCAUACAAGCAUCCAUACCUUCUCUGUGUCAUGUUCAUGGGCAGAAUGGUGGAAAUCUGUGGUUUUAUGUCCAGCAACUCAGAAGCUGGAAGACACAUGCAGAGUACAGGGGAUCUGGAUUCAGCAUCUAAGUCCAAGGGAAUACGAACCCACAUCUCCUAUAUGCACACCUUAAUCAUCAGACCUGUGGUACACAUAGUGGGGAAUCUCAAUCUCUGCCACUGAAGCCAUCUUGUUUGGCCUGGAAUAAUUAAAUAUUCAUUGGGACAAAGAAAGUAAGGAUGAAAGAAUGACUUAGCAGCCUGGUGUUUGGGUGCUCCCUUGGGGGUGGAAGAGGUCUGCUCCACUCCUUGUGCCAAUGAAUACUUAAUGUUAAAUACUUAAAUAUUCAUUGCAGCAGUCACUGGGAACAGGGUGUCUUGUCUAUCAGGUGAGUGCCCUGAUCACUCUGCUGUAGUCUUACGCAUACACACACACAUGCACGCAUGCUUUCUGACAUAAUGAAUAUUUAAUUACUUCAUUGGAAAAGGUAGCAGCUUCAGGAAGACACAGCACAAGAUGCCCAGCUCAGACCAGCAAUGGUCACAGCUCUUGCUGGGAUGUGUCCUCCUGUGGCACAGCCAAGGAAACCUUAUAUUUUAAGAGAUUCAUAACCCCACAAGACACUUUUUUCCAUAUGAGAUCUGUCAAAAAGCUCUCAGCAAUGUCACCUCAGAAUAGAAAAAAUGUUAAACAGAUAGAUAGCUGGAUAGCACCUAGCCAACAAAAACCUUAAACAAGAAGUGGAAUUUACAGUAUUUACUAGGCUUUAACAACCUGUGGAAAUCAAAGCUAGACAGUGUCAGAAAAAUAUUAUGCAUUUUCCCCUCAGACAGCAACCCAGCGUCAACAUGCAAUGAUAAGAAUUGGAAACCUACCAAAGUGUUAGGUUGGAAAAUAUAUGCUGUUAUAAACAACCCACCUGUGAAAAGCUGUGGGCACUGAGCACAAAAACUCUAUCACUCAUCAAGAGAUUACUUACCGGGAGCUGCUCUGCACUAGGAUCAGAAGAUGGGGCUGGACAUACUUGGGACAUGUACUCUGGAUGCUAUCAUGAAGCCUCCUGCAUGAAGCUUCACUUGGAAAGCAGCUCAUUCAAGGAAAUGGGGAGGACCGAGGAGAAACUGCUGGAGAUCCCUCUGCAGGGAGGGCUGAGCCAGCAGUGCCACCAAGGGAUGGGAGCUGUGAUAGAUGACAGAGGAGUGGAGAGAGGAGUUUCUGCCCUUCAUGCAAGUGUUGGAUUGGGAAGGAUGACGUGUCUUGAAAUGUACUCAGCAGCCAAAAAUAGUAUGUAGUGAUAAUAGUGGAUGUGCAGCUGGGCUUUCCUGGCAAUUGGAAAGGGCUGAAUGGAGCAAAUCACAGAUUAACACCUACAUAUCCCUAUGCAUAAAUGUAAAUUUAAGGCUGUUCUUUUUUUGUGGAGAUUACUCCAUUUCUGUGAUCACGUUGGUUUCCUUUCUAAAAACCAUACCCAAUCCCAAAAAUCAUGCAAGUGGCAUUUAUUUUAGUUCUUCUCCUGUUCAAAAUGUGGGCAUAUGUGGGCAAAAGCCAUCAGGAAGUAGAUAUAGAUGUAGUGGGUUCACAUAUAUCUCCCUCCAGUACAGUUAUGGCCUCAUUUCAUAUGUUUUACAAAUGAGAUCCAUUAUUAUAGUAAUAAAAUGAGAUUUUAACUUUAGACAUUUCUACAGAUAUUAUAAUAGGAUUACUGAUAAUGAAGAGAGGUGAUUUACCAUUCAACAGGCUUCAAUAGUCUGUUGUCAAAUGCUGAAGGCUGGCCAUCAUUAAAUAUACAAUUUCCAGCUAGAAUUACCUGCCAUGACUGCUGAAAUAUGGUGGUUUACUGUCUCUGCAAGCACAAGCUUGAACUUUUUUGUUGUUGUUCUUUUCCUGGAGCUAUUUAUUUGCUGUGAAAUAUCUAAAGAACUACAUUUUUGUGUUAUUUUCCAGCUCAGAUGGAAUCUCAUGUGGAAUAACACUGGCAUUUGUUCUUUCACAAGGGGAACUUUUGCUGCAGAGUGGGAGGAAAGACCCAAGUGUUUUAAUCUGUUACACCCACCUUGUCGCAUGAGGGUUGCAAGCAGCUUAUAUUGACAGAAGGGACUAGUCUCUGCAUGAGAUUACAGUGAUUGUAAGAGAUGCUGUACUCAAACCUUGCCCUUUCCAGGAGUGAAAGCAGUGUCAGCGUGGAGGUGGACACAUUUUGCUGGCCUGGGGCACUUCACUGAAAGCACCAUAUCUAAAAGCUACCUGAAGAGAAUUGCCUUACCUUCUCUUUCCUGUACAUUGGGGUGUUGGAGGGCUUUUCCUCAUGCUGCAACUGGCUCACAGUCGCAGGGGUUGAAAAACGAUCUCAGAAUCCCCUCUUGGUUUUACCUGGGCACUCAAGUUCCACUGGAUAAAGAUGUCAGGAGUUCAAAUCUCAUAAUAGG